GUGAAUUAUGGGAGUUGUAGUGAGGGAUGAUUGAUAGUGGGUGCAGGUGAAUUAUGGGAGUUGUAGUGAGGGCUGAUUGAUAGUGGGUGCAGGUGAAUUAUGGGAGUUGUAGUGAGGGCUGAUUGAUAGUGGGUGCAGGUGAAUUAUGGGAGUUGUAGUGAGGGAUGAUUGAUAGUGGGUGCAGGUGAAUUAUGGGAGUUGUAGUGAGAGCUGAUUGAUAGUGGGUGCAGGUGAAUUAUGGGAGUUGUAGUGAGAGCUGAUUGAUAGUUAGUGGGUGCAGGUGAAUUAUGGGAGUUGUAGUGAGGGCUGAUUGAUAGUUAGUGGGUGCAGGUGAAUUAUGGGAGUUGUAGUGAGGGCUGAU